ensembl:snRNA U1 U1 spliceosomal RNA
AUAUUUACCUGGCAGGGAGAUACUAUGAUCAUGAAGGUGGUUCUCCCAAGGCAAGGCUUAUCCAUUGCACUCGGGAUGUGCUGACCCCUGCAAUUUCCCCAAAUGUGGGAAACUCGACUGCAUAAUUCAUGUUAGUGGGGGGACUGCGUUCGUGCUUUCCCCUG